GGCGCGAGGAAGCCAACACAGAGCGUGUGGGCGAUGCCCGACGAGCGGCGGGAGGCGUGGCGAGCCCCGGCGGGAAAGCGCACGCGGCCGAAUCCCGCCACCUCCCGGCUCGUGUGCGCGUGCGCAGGGACGCGGAGCGCGCCGCCGACUACCUGUGACUGCGUGCUCGAAGCUUCGGUCGGUUGGAAAUUGUGGUCCCGCGCUCUCUGGGUCCGGCCCGCGGUCCCCAUUCUGCUCACUCAUCCGGGGCCAAGAGGAAGCCGAGGAGAGAGGCGGGGCGACUGAACUACAAUUCCCAGCAGGCCUUGCGGGGAGGCCGGGGCCGCCUGCGAGCCCCACUGGGAGACCAGACCCUGGGCGGCGGCCUUGAGGGUCACGCCUCGGGCCCUGGGAUAGUUUGGGGGUUUAACACUGGCGGGGCCCCCAGAUGCACCGCAGAAGAGAAGCCUCAACGCCAUGUGACGUGAACGUCGUUGAGUUUUUAAUGAUUUUGACUUCACAAGGAGAGGAAGCCAUGACUUAAUUACCACCAUUAUCAUCGCCACCCUCUCUUCUAGUCGCCAGAGUUUGAUGUGCACCGUCACCGCCCUAACGUCUGUCUGCCACCGCCUUGUCCAGCUUACAGGAUCAUGGUGCUGGGAAUCAAGUCCAGGACCUUAUGCAUUCUGGGUGUUGGGGGUGCUCAGGACUGAACCCAGGGCCUUACAUGCAUACUAAGCAUUCACUUUACCACUAAGAUACAUCCACAGACAAUUCAACAUUUUAAAAUUGAAGUAUAUCUUGUCCUGAUAUUCAAGAAAAAAAAAAUAAGGACAGGUGGGAGUGUAGCUCAGUGGUAAAGUACAUGCUCAGCAUGCUGAAGGAUAUGCGUUCAAUCUCCAGCAUGAAGAAGAAGGAGAAGGAGAAGAAGCUGAGAUGGGAAUUUGGGGCAGGGGAAGACUGAGACUGCUUUACCAUUAGCCAAGUAGGUAUGACAAUUUCCUUGCCAGCGUACCCCAUAUUGCAGUGACAUUGAAUGUAGGUGACCUUGCUCAAGGACCAAGGCGGAUUAGGGCGUUCCGGUUUAGGUUCCAGGUUUAAGGUUUAAGAUUAUUCCUGCUGGGAAUAGGGCGUAUCCUGCUGCCUGAGUUCCCCUUGAGUUCUCACGGGAUUCAGACAGUAUAUUUUGGAGAUAGAAGCCCAGUGGAGGUGGAUUUGGGCAGAGAACGUGGAUUUCCCCAGAACGUGAUUGUAGACGGCUGGUGUGAGUUCGGGAAUAAAGAGUUGCUGUUUGAAUCUACAAGCUGUGUGGUGGCUCGUGAUUGUGUGCCCAGCCAGACUGCGGCAUUUGUGCCCAGCCAGACUGC